ACCAGACUCCUACGGGAGGCAGCAGUGGGGAAUAUUGCACAAUGGGGGGAACCCUGAUGCAGCGACGCCGCGUGGGUGAAGGAGUGCUUCGGCAUGUAAAGCCCUAUCGGCAGGGAAGAAGCAAGACGGUACCUGACUAAGAAGCCCCGGCUAACUACGUGCCAGCAGCCGCGGUAAUACGUAGGGGGCGAGCGUUAUCCGGAUUCACUGGGUGUAAAGGGGGCGCAGACGGCAGCGCAAGCCAGGAGUGAAAGCCCGGGGCCCAACCCCGGGACUGCUCUUGGAACUGCGCGGCUGGAGUGCAGGAGGGGCAGGCGGAAUUCCUGGUGUAGCGGUGAAAUGCGUAGAUAUCAGGAGGAACACCAGUGGCGAAGGCGGCCUACUGGACGGUGACUGACGCUGAGGCUCGAAAGCGUGGGGAGCAAACAGGAUUAGAUACCCGAGUA
rnacentral:rRNA from 1 species